GGAAGGCGCACAUCCUCGGGCGGGCGGCCGUGACGCGGCGGGGAUUAACUUUGCAUGAAUAAUUUGCAAUACUCACCCUCUCAGGAAGCUUUGGCCAGCCCCUUGACAUGGAGAACAAGAAGGAAAUUGACUGUAUAUGAGAAGAUAAGGCAGAUGGGGAAUCAAGCCAAGCUUCUGCUGAGUCUACCAAACUAGGAAGAUAGAAAUUUUGGGAAAGAAGUUACAACAGUGCAAAACUGAAGUUGGAAGGUCAACAGAACCUGUAUGUCUUAUUUCAUCAAGUAAAACGAUGUCUUUGUCAGUUUGAUUGGACUCCCUUAAAAUCCACCUGUGAGAAGACCUGAAAAGUGUUUCCUUCCAUUGUUACUCAACCGUCUACCAUACCUAGAAGCUAAUAAUGGCUUACAUUAUAUCAAGUGACUGUAAGGUCCUCAGGAAUUAAAGAUGUGAAGAAAGAAAUCUUUUAUAGAGUUGGUUUUGGCAUUCCUUCCAUAGAGAGAUGAAUCACUUUCUUCAAUAAGUCCAGAACUUGACUUUGUGAAGGCUGGCAGAGAGAGCAGUGGGAGACAACUGGCUUUGUGUUUUAGCCCAUUGAAUAGUUGUCCUUCCUUGGUGGCGGCUCAUAUUCUUCAGGAUAGAAUGAAUUGUGGCCAGAUAAUGUCUUUAUAACUUAAAGGAUUCUUGUAGAAGGGAACCAAGUGCUGGGUUCCUGUAGCUGUUUUAAGAUGUUACCUUUCUGGCAGCUGUCGUUACCUUUCUGGCAGCUGUCAUGUGUUGUUUUGACCAUCAGUAAUUGAAUUUAGUAUUCUCUGGAAUAAAGGAUGGGUUAAGAAGGUCUCAAAAAUCAUAUGAACAUCUUCUUUAAUUGUCCUACCAUUUACAGCUACGAAAGUAUUAAUAGUAUUAAUGUAACACAGCAGGUGAGGUGUGAACUUAGGACAGACCUCAAUAUAAAUAUGGGUGUCCCCACUAAACUAGCUGACAUGAUCUUAGGAAAACUUGCUUUACUUCUCUGAGUUUCACUUUCCAAUUCUGUAAAAAAAAUUCCCGGUUUUAAGAAAGCCUGUCAUGUAGGACAAUAAUGAAGAGUGGGAAUACCUGGAAAAGACGUUAUUGGUGUAAAAUUAAACUGGUCU
ensembl:lncRNA